rnacentral:lncRNA from 1 species
CAAAGAUAAGAAGUUUUCAAAUCAAAACUAAUAAAAUGCCAGAGAUUACAGGUAAGGGGGUUGGUUACACAGAGGGAAGAUGUUAGCACCCAAAGUGUAGGAAAAGGGAAAAGUACGAACAAAACCCAAAGAUAAGAAGUUUUCAAAUCAAAACUAAUAAAAUGCCAGAGAUUACAGGUAAGGGGGUUGGUUACACAGAGGGAAGAUGUUAGCACCCAAAGUGUCUUAGGUACUCCUAGGGAGCCCUUUUUUAUGUGUGUAUGUGUUUUAGUAUAAAAGGAUGUUUGAAACAAAUAGAGCGUGGGGAUGAGAAAAAGAAUUCAUUGAUUAUAUUUUUGUGUUUGACAAGACCUUCGGACUUGUGCUUACGUACCAACAUAAAAAUGAGGGAUCAAAACCUCGUAGUUUGUGGUAUCAAUUUCAAAGUGAG